AUGUUAAUUUGUACACAAAAUUGGCUCCGAAACUCUCCAAAACUUAUCCUUGAGGAACUCAUCGAGGAAUUGGAGAAGUUGGAAUUAGAAGUUGCACCCACUCCUGAUCCUAAUGAAGAAGAUUCUGGUGUUGAGUCUGAUUGAGUACAUCUUGUUAUGGUUGGUUUGCAUUAAGAAGUUUAGCUGUUUUGUUAGAGAAGAUACAAUAAUUUUGCUAUCUUUUAAUGGCAAUUUAUUUUUAUUUUUAGU